rnacentral:rRNA from 1 species
AUGGUUAAGUUAGAAAGGGCGCACGGUGAAUGCCUUGGCACUAGGAGCCGAUGAAGGACGGGACUAACACCGAUAUGCUUCGGGGAGCUGUAAGUGAGCUUUGAUCCGGAGAUUUCCGAAUGGGGAAACCCACUGUUCGUAAUGGAACAGUAUCUUUAUCUGAAUACAUAGGAUAUUGAAGGCAGACCCGGGGAACUGAAACAUCUAAGUACCCGGAGGAAGAGAAAGCAAAUGCGAUUUCCUGAGUAGCGGCGAGCGAAACGGAAUUAGCCCAAACCAAGAGGCUUGCCUCUUGGGGUUGUAGGACACUCUAUACGGAGUUACAAAGGAACGAAGUAAAUGAAGCGACCUGGAAAGGUCCGUCGAAGAAGGUAACAACCCUGUAGUUGAAACUUCGUUCCCUCUUGAGUGGAUCCUGAGUACGGCGGAACACGUGAAAUUCCGUCGGAAGCUGGGAGGACCAUCUCCCAAGGCUAAAUACUACCUAGUGACCGAUAGUGAACCAGUACCGUGAGGGAAAGGUGAAAAGCACCCCGGAAGGGGAGUGAAAGAGAUCCUGAAACCGUGUGCCUACAAGUAGUCAGAGCCCGUUAACGGGUGAUGGCGUGCCUUUUGUAGAAUGAACCGGCGAGUUACGAUCCCAUGCAAGGUUAAGCUGAUAAGGCGGAGCCGUAGCGAAAGCGAGUCUGAAUAGGGCGUUUAGUAUGUGGUUGUAGACCCGAAACCAGGUGAUCUACCCAUGUCCAGGGUGAAGUUCAGGUAACACUGAAUGGAGGCCCGAACCCACGCACGUUGAAAAGUGCGGGGAUGAGGUGUGGGUAGCGGAGAAAUUCCAAUCGAACCUGGAGAUAGCUGGUUCUCUCCGAAAUAGCUUUAGGGCUAGCCUCAUGUUGUGAGAGUCUUGGAGGUAGAGCACUGAUUGGACUAGGGGCCCCCAACGGGUUACCGAAUUCAGUCAAACUCCGAAUGCCAAAGACUUAUCCAUGGGAGUCAGACUGCGAGUGAUAAGAUCCGUAGUCAAAAGGGAAACAGCCCAGACCACCAGCUAAGGUCCCCAAGUAUACGUUAAGUGGAAAAGGAUGUGGAGUUGCUUAGACAACCAGGAUGUUGGCUUAGAAGCAGCCACCAUUUAAAGAGUGCGUAAUAGCUCACUGGUCGAGUGACUCUGCGCCGAAAAUGUACCGGGGCUAAACGUAUCACCGAAGCUGUGGAUUGACAUCUUAGAUGUCAGUGGUAGGAGAGCGUUCUAAGUGCUGUGAAGUCAGACCGUAAGGACUGGUGGAGCGCUUAGAAGUGAGAAUGCCGGUAUGAGUAGCGAAAGACAAGUGAGAAUCUUGUCCACCGAAUGCCUAAGGUUUCCUGAGGAAGGCUCGUCCGCUCAGGGUUAGUCGGGACCUAAGCCGAGGCUGAAAAGCGUAGGCGAUGGCCAACAGGUUGAUAUUCCUGUACCACCUCCCCGCCGUUUGAGUAAUGGGGGGACGCAGUAGGAUAGGGUAAGCGCGCUGCUGGAUAUGCGCGUUCAAGCAGUUAGGCUGAUGAGUAGGCAAAUCCGCUCAUCAUAAAGGCUGAGCUGUGAUGACGAGGGAAUUAUAGUACCGAAGUUCCUGAUUCCACACUGCCAAGAAAAGCCUCUAGCGAGGCGGGAGGUGCCCGUACCGCAAACCGACACAGGUAGGCGAGGAGAGAAUCCUAAGGUGAUCGAGAGAACUCUCGUUAAGGAACUCGGCAAAAUGACCCCGUAACUUCGGGAGAAGGGGUGCUCUGGUAGGGUGUAUAGCCCGAGAGAGCCGCAGUGAAUAGGCCCAGGCGACUGUUUAGCAAAAACACAGGUCUCUGCGAAGCCGCAAGGCGAAGUAUAGGGGCUGACGCCUGCCCGGUGCUGGAAGGUUAAGAGGAGGGGUUAUCCUUUAGGAGAAGCUCUGAAUCGAAGCCCCAGUAAACGGCGGCCGUAACUAUAACGGUCCUAAGGUAGCGAAAUUCCUUGUCGGGUAAGUUCCGACCCGCACGAAAGGCGUAACGAUCUGGGCACUGUCUCAACGAGAGACUCGGUGAAAUUAUAGUACCUGUGAAGAUGCAGGUUACCCGCGACAGGACGGAAAGACCCCGUGGAGCUUUACUGUAGCCUGAUAUUGAAUUUUGGUACAGCUUGUACAGGAUAGGUAGGAGCCUGAGAAGCCGGAGCGCUAGCUUCGGUGGAGGCGUCGGUGGGAUACUACCCUGGCUGUAUUGAAAUUCUAACCCGCGGCCCUGAUCGGGCCGGGAGACAGUGUCAGGUGGGCAGUUUGACUGGGGCGGUCGCCUCCUAAAAUGUAACGGAGGCGCCCAAAGGUUCCCUCAGAAUGGUUGGAAAUCAUUCGUAGAGUGUAAAGGCACAAGGGAGCUUGACUGCGAGACCUACAAGUCGAGCAGGGACGAAAGUCGGGCUUAGUGAUCCGGUGGUUCCGCAUGGAAGGGCCAUCGCUCAACGGAUAAAAGCUACCCCGGGGAUAACAGGCUUAUCUCCCCCAAGAGUCCACAUCGACGGGGAGGUUUGGCACCUCGAUGUCGGCUCAUCGCAUCCUGGGGCUGUAGUCGGUCCCAAGGGUUGGGCUGUUCGCCCAUUAAAGCGGUACGCGAGCUGGGUUCAGAACGUCGUGAGACAGUUCGGUCCCUAUCCGUCGUGGGCGUAGGAAAUUUGAGAGGAGCUGUCCUUAGUACGAGAGGACCGGGAUGGACACACCGCUGGUGUACCAGUUGUCUUGCCAAAGGCAUCGCUGGGUAGCUAUGUGUGGACGGGAUAAGUGCUGAAAGCAUCUAAGCAUGAAGCCCCCCUCAAGAUGAGAUUUCCCAUAGCGCAAGCUAGUAAGAUCCCUGAAAGAUGAUCAGGUUGAUAGGUCAGAGGUGGAAGCGUGGCGACAUGUGUAGCUGACUGAUACUAAUCGAUCGAGGACUUAACCAAAA